UACCAGACUCCUACGGGAGGCAGCAGUGGGGAAUAUUGCACAAUGGGGGAAACCCUGAUGCAGCGACGCCGCGUGAGCGAUGAAGUAUUUCGGUAUGUAAAGCUCUAUCAGCAGGGAAGAAGAUGACGGUACCUGACUAAGAAGCCCCGGCUAACUACGUGCCAGCAGCCGCGGUAAUACGUAGGGGGCAAGCGUUAUCCGGAUUUACUGGGUGUAAAGGGAGCGUAGACGGCGAUGCAAGCCAGAUGUGAAAGCCCGGGGCUCAACCCCGGGACUGCAUUUGGAACUGUGUGGCUGGAGUGUCGGAGAGGCAGGCGGAAUUCCUAGUGUAGCGGUGAAAUGCGUAGAUAUCAGGAGGAACACCGGCGGCGAAGGCGGCCUGCUGGACCGUGACUGACGUUGAGGCUCGAGAGCGUGGGGAGCAAACAGGAUUAGAUACCCCUGUACAU
rnacentral:rRNA from 1 species